UGAGUCUCAUUCUUCCGCACGCAAAUAUUUAAAAGUAAGUAAUUUCAAGAAGUCAGUCAAACUCACAAAGCUUUAACAAGGUGGCAUCUAGCUUGCAAGUCAAGUGUUCAAGGCCGCAGUCGGGACAUCCAAGAGCUCUUUACAUCCUAAUUACAACACCGAACCCACACUCACUGUAUACCCCGUCCCGUAUAUAAUGCAAAACUUGAUUCUGCAAGUUCUUUCUCAGGCGGUGAAACUUCGAGGUCCUCUCCAUGGAGACCUCUGAUAAAUGUUUAAGCAGUGAUCCUUUCUCGUUUGCCUCCAUUGCAACGCCUCCGCUGAUGGGAAAAACUACUCCCUCCGCUACUGCGGGGUGGCAGUGACGUCAACGAAUUAGCUGACCUGUUUUUUCGGGCUUCGCGGACCUAGGAGUCCCGAAGGCCGAGAGUGAGUAACUGGGAGCGGGGAGGCUGCGGCUCCUCCUGUCCGGGGCGGAGCCCUGCGUCGCGGGCCCGGGCAGUCCCCGCCAGCAGCCUUGACGUCUGGGUCUCGAGCGCCGCUGCAGCCACCCAGCCCUGAGGCGAGCGAGUGGAUGUGUGCGUGGGGGGUCGGCCAAACUUCCUGUCCCGCGCUCGAGCUGCUUCCGGCGGGAGCCGGAAGACGCUGUGUGUGGACGGAAUUCGGGACCGACAGACGGCCGGCCGGCUGCCCAGAACUGGAAGGUUAAAUUGAUUACCCACCUAGUACAACAUCUUACAGGAAGAGCAUAGUAUUUCCUAGAGGAGUAUGAACAUAACAGGAAGGUAUCAUUGGCUCUGAAUUAAAUUUGAACUUGUCCCCUGAAUAGCUACAGGUUUUGGAAGCUGAAUCAAUGUUAUCAGAUGAGUUAGAAUCCAAACCAGAGCUCCUGGUACAGUUUGUUCAGAAUACAUCCAUCCCAUUGGGACAGGGGCUUGUAGAAUCAGAAGCUAAAGAUAUUACUUGUUUGUCCCUCCUUCCCGUGACUGAAGCCUCAGAAUGCAGUCGGCUAAUGUUACCAGAUGAUACUACAAAUCAUUCUAACUCCUCCAAGGAGGUCCCUUCCUCAGCUGUUUUGAGAAGCCUUCGGGUGAAUGUAGGUCCAGACGGAGAGGAGACGAGAGCUCAGACUGUACAGAAAUCCCCGGAGUUUUUGUCCACUUCAGAGUCUUCUAGCUUGUUGCAAGAUCUACAGCCAAGUGAUAGCACUUCUUUUAUUCUUCUUAACCUAACAAGAGCAGGUCUGGGCUCUUCAGCUGAGCACUUAGUGUUUGUACAGGAUGAGGCAGAAGAUUCAGGGAAUGAUUUCCUCUCCAGUGAGAGCACAGACAGUAGCAUUCCAUGGUUCCUCCGGGUUCAAGAGUUGGCCCAUGACAGUUUGAUUGCUGCUACUCGUGCACAACUGGCAAAGAAUGCAAAAACCAGCAGCAAUGGAGAAAAUGUCCACCUUGGUUCUGGUGAUGGGCAACCAAAAGAUUCUGGGCCCCUUCCUCAAGUGGAAAAGAAGCUCAAGUGUACAGUUGAAGGCUGUGAUCGGACAUUUGUAUGGCCAGCUCACUUUAAAUACCACCUCAAGACUCAUCGAAAUGACCGCUCCUUCAUCUGUCCUGCAGAAGGUUGUGGGAAAAGCUUCUAUGUGCUGCAGAGGCUGAAGGUACACAUGAGGACCCACAAUGGAGAGAAGCCCUUUAUAUGCCAUGAGUCUGGCUGUGGUAAGCAGUUUACUACAGCUGGAAACCUGAAGAACCACCGGCGCAUUCACACAGGAGAGAAACCUUUCCUUUGUGAAGCCCAAGGAUGUGGCCGUUCCUUUGCUGAGUAUUCUAGUCUCCGAAAACAUCUGGUGGUUCACUCAGGAGAAAAGCCUCAUCAGUGCCAAGUCUGUGGGAAGACCUUCUCUCAGAGUGGAAGCAGGAAUGUGCAUAUGAGAAAGCAUCACUUGCAGCUGGGAGCAGCUGGGAGUCAAGAGCAGGAGCAAACUGCUGAGCCACUAAUGGGCAGUAGUUUGCUUGAAGAGGCUUCAGUACCCGGUAAAAACCUGGUGUCUAUGAAUUCCCAGCCCAGCCUUGGUGGAGAGUCCUUGAACCUACCAAAUACCAAUUCUAUCCUGGGAGUUGAUGAUGUUAUGGAAGAACUUAACUUUUAAAACAUUUAAACAGAACAUAACCAGGUUUUACAGAGGAGAUAUAAAGCAAUUUCUCCAUACCUUCAAAAGCCAUAUCUUCUGGAGAAAAGAAAGGGCUCUCUAGGAAACACUUGCUCCUCUCUGGUAUAGAAAUUUCACCCAAGUUACACAGGCCAGGCCCUCUUCUCUGAAAAACUUAACAGAGGUGCUUGCUGAAGGAUCCCCACGUUCCCUGUCUUCAGUGCCUGAUGUGACACAUCACCUGGUGACCAUGCAGUCAGGGAGGCAAUCAUAUGAAGUUUCUGUCUUAACUGCAGUAAAUCCACAAGAGUUACUAAACCAAGGAGAUUUAACUGAAAGACGGACAUGAGCGUGGGUGCUGACUCCUGGAAGAGCAGCUCUAUCUGAUCUCAAAAUGCAUAUACUGGGAACAGGAUGCCAUAGCCCACAACGGAACCAGAAUGAAUCUCUGAAGGACAAGACUCUGCUUUUGCCACUCUUCCUCUUUCCUGGUAUAGAAGAUGGAUGUAGCAGAGCUUCUUUUCUAACUACCACCUGAUCCAGACAAGGAAUGAAGCAAUGACUGUGGGCUGGGAAACUGUACCUACCUCUCUUCCCAAUGCAAAAUUCUGGGAUAGACCAAAAGUGAAUUUGAUUAUGUGUUGGCUGAAGUUCUUCAUUCUGACUGUUGAGGGGAGGUUUUCCUUUGAAGAGUUUUCAUCUCAGACUCAGCUGUCUUUUCACAUGGGUGAAAUAAUUCCUGCUACCAACAACAGAGCUUCACCAGGAAGUUGAGCUUUCAAGAUGCCUUGUUGCUUUGAAGAAGGGAGUGAUGUCAAUUCUCUUGUUACAUUCUCCCUUUAGCAACCUGAGUAAGAGACUCUGCCACUGGGCUGCAAAAAAAUAAAUUACUUGAAUCUCCCCUUGGCCCAGGCUGAGGUACUGUCUUGUCCUAUACACUUCUACUUGGUCACUUUGCUUUCUUCUUUAAUGGAACAUACAGUAGCAUGUUAAGAGGGAUUUCAUGUUUUUGUUUUUUUAAAGUUAAACAUUACAUGAUGCAGAGAUUCAGGUUUUCCUUUAAAUAAACAAAACAGCCCAGUCA